rnacentral:rRNA from 1 species
CCUACGGGAGGCAGCAGUGAGGAAUAUUGGUCAAUGGGCGGGAGCCUGAACCAGCCAAGUCGCGUGAGGGAAGACGGUCCUAUGGAUUGUAAACCUCUUUAGGCGGGGAGCAAUGCCGGGCACGCGUGCCCGGAGGGAGAGUACCCGCAGAAUAAGCAUCGGCUAACUCCGUGCCAGCAGCCGCGGUAAUACGGAGGAUGCGAGCGUUAUCCGGAUUGAUUGGGUUUAAAGGGUGCGUAGGCGGAUUUUUAAGUCAGCGGUAAAAUGUGCGGGCUCAACCCGGGCCGGCCGUUGAAACUGGGGAUCUUGAGUGGGCGAGAAGUAUGCGGAAUGCGUGGUGUAGCGGUGAAAUGCAUAGAUAUCACGCAGAACUCCGAUUGCGAAGGCAGCAUACCGGCGCCCGACUGACGCUGAGGCACGAAAGCGUGGGGAUCGAACAGGAUUAGAUACCCCAGUAGUC